AACGAACGCUGGCGGCGUGCCUAACACAUGCAAGUCGAACGAGAAAGGGGCUUCGGCCCUGAGUAAAGUGGCGCACGGGUGAGUAACACGUAGGUAACCUGCCUCUAAGAUUGGGAUAACCUGUCGAAAGACGAGCUAAUACCGAAUAAGACCACAGUUUCCUCGGAAGCCGGGGUCAAAGGUAGCCUCUACUUGUAAGCUAUCACCUAGAGAUGGGCCUGCGUACCAUUAGCUAGUUGGUGGGGUAACGGCCUACCAAGGCAAAGAUGGUUAGCUGGUCUGAGAGCAUGAUCAGCCACACUGGAACUGAGACACGGUCCAGACUCCUACGGGAGGCAGCAGUGGGGAAUAUUGCGCAAUGGGCGAAAGCCUGACGCAGCAACGCCGCGUGAGUGAUGAAGGCCUUCGGGUCGUAAAGCUCUGUCGGAGGGAACGAAUGCUCCUGAGGUUAACAGCCUCGGGAAGUGACGGUACCCUCAAAGGAAGCACCGGCUAACUCUGUGCCAGCCGCCGCAGUAAUAC
rnacentral:rRNA from 1 species